GACGAACGCUGGCGGCGUGCUUAACACAUGCAAGUCGAACGGAAAGGCCCUGCUUUUGUGGGGUGCUCGAGUGGCGAACGGGUGAGUAACACGUGAGUAACCUGCCCUUGACUUUGGGAUAACUUCAGGAAACUGGGGCUAAUACCGGAUAGGAGCUCCUGCUGCAUGGUGGGGGCUGGAAAGUUUCGGCGGUUGGGGAUGGACUCGCGGCUUAUCAGCUUGUUGGUGGGGUAGUGGCUUACCAAGGCUUUGACGGGUAGCCGGCCUGAGAGGGUGACCGGCCACAUUGGGACUGAGAUACGGCCCAGACUCCUACGGGAGGCAGCAGUGGGGAACAUUGCACAAUGGGCGGAAGCCUGAUGCAGCAACGCCGCGUGCGGGAUGACGGCCUUCGGGUUGUAAACCGCUUUCGCCUGUGACGAAGCGUGAGUGACGGUAAUGGGUAAAGAAGCACCGGCUAACUACGUG
rnacentral:rRNA from 1 species